AUGAACAAAAAGCAAUUAGAUAAAAAAAAAACAAAACAAAUCGUUCAGUGCUUAGGUCCUCACAACGUGAAACACAACAAUUUCUUCUCUCAUCUUUCUCAAAAUCACAGUGCAGCUUCUCAAACUCCCUCCGCCGCACCGAUUCCUUCUCCAACGUUGGCUUCAAACCGGCGCCGAUCAUCACCGUCUCUCGUCCUUCCUCUCAAACUCGACGGUGGUACAACUAUCUUUUCAAAAACCUUCUUCUCUGAUCAAACUCCGUCGUUUCUCUCCGACCUCGCCUCAACAUCGCUACUCCCUGCGGUUUCCUCUUCUUCGUUUAACUUUGUCUAA